UACGUAGGGUGCGAGCGUUGUCCGGAAUUAUUGGGCGUAAAGAGCUCGUAGGCGGUCUGUCGCGUCGAAUGUGAAAACCCGGGGCUCAACUCCGGGCUUGCAUUCGAUACGGGCAGACUAGAGUUCGGUAGGGGAGACUGGAAUUCCUGGUGUAGCGGUGAAAUGCGCAGAUAUCAGGAGGAACACCGGUGGCGAAGGCGGGUCUCUGGGCCGAUACUGACGCUGAGGAGCGAAAGCGUGGGGAGCGAACAGG
rnacentral:rRNA from 1 species